GAUGAAUGUGAAGUUUAUGAAAAGGAAAUUAUGGAUAGUAAUAAGCUUGAUAUUUGGUUUAGGUGAUACCAGUAUCCAAGUCUAAGCUCCUUUGACUUUAGGCUCUCGGUUCCUCUGCUUUCAGGUAAGGGAUAAGUUAUAUGGGCAUUUGUUAGCAGGUUUUAUUUUGAAACAGAGGGAGCCUUAGUCGAGUUUUGGAAGGAGCUGGUUUAGUUUUAUAUGUAUAGAUCCUAAAUUAGCAAUAUGAUGUUUAGAUUUGUAGCAUUGUUUAUUUUA